rnacentral:rRNA from 1 species
AACGAACGCUGGCGGCAUGCCUAACACAUGCAAGUCGAACGAAGGCUUCGGCCUUAGUGGCGCACGGGUGCGUAACGCGUGGGAAUCUGCCCUUUGCUUCGGAAUAACAGUUAGAAAUGACUGCUAAUACCGGAUGAUAUCGCAAGACCAAAGAUUUAUCGGCAAAGGAUGAGCCCGCGUAGGAUUAGCUAGUUGGUGGGGUAAAGGCCUACCAAGGCGACGAUCCUUAGCUGGUCUGAGAGGAUGAUCAGCCACACUGGGACUGAGACACGGCCCAGACUCCUACGGGAGGCAGCAGUGGGGAAUAUUGGACAAUGGGCGAAAGCCUGAUCCAGCAAUGCCGCGUGAGUGAUGAAGGCCUUAGGGUUGUAAAGCUCUUUUACCCGGGAUGAUAAUGACAGUACCGGGAGAAUAAGCUCCGGCUAACUCCGUG